GAUGAACGCUGGCGGCGUGCCUAAUACAUGCAAGUCGAGCGAACAGACGAGGAGCUUGCUCCUCUGACGUUAGCGGCGGACGGGUGAGUAACACGUGGAUAACCUACCUAUAUUACUGGGAUAACAUCGGGAAACCGGAGCUAAUACCGGAUAAUAUAUUGAACCGCAUGGUUCAAUAGUGAAAGACGGCUUUGCUGUCACUUAUAGAUGGAUCCGCGGCGCAUUAUCUAGUUGGUAAGGUAACGGCUUACCAAGGCAACGAUGCGUAGCCGAUCUGAGAGGGUGAGCGGCCACUGGAGAACUGAGACACGGUCGAGACUCCUGCGAGAGGCAGGAGUAGGAAAUCGGCCACAAGGGGCGAAAGCCAGACAGAGCAACGGCGCGUGAGAGAUGAAGGUCUUCGGAGCGAAAAACUCUGUUAGGGGGGAAAAAGAAGUGUGUAAGUAACUAGGCACGUCUUGACGGUACCUAAUCAGAGAGCCGCGGCUAACUGCG
rnacentral:rRNA from 1 species